UUUGGAGGGCAAGAUCUGGUGCCACGCACGCCGCGGUAAUUCCAGCUCCAAUAGCGUAUAUUAAAGUUGUUGCAGUUAAAAAGCUCGUAGUUGAAUUUCGGGAUCAAUAUUUCGGUCAUGCCGUUGGUAUGCACUGUUAUACAUUGAUUUCUCACCUUCUAAAGAACCCGUAAUGCCCAUUAAUUUGGUGUUACGGGGAAAUUAGAGACUGUUACCUUGAAAAAUAUUAGAGUGUUUAAACGACAGCGACAAGG
rnacentral:rRNA from 1 species